rnacentral:rRNA from 1 species
AAUUUUUAGUACUUAUAGGAGAUAUUUUAACUCCAUAGUGGUUUAAUUGCCUUUUGUUUCAGGAUUUGUUUAAAUAAAGUAGUACAGCAAAUUCUCGAAACCUUUACGAACUAAACAACGCCUAUUAAAUAAGACCCUGUUUAAUUUAGAAGUGAAACUCUACGAGUUAGGUUAGCUAGUUAUGUUUUAUUAAGGGAGAAAGUCUCUUUUCUUCUAUAAUUUUUUACAUAUUUAUAAAAAUUAGCUUUUAUACUAAGCCAAUUAAUUAUUUACUACAAAUAAUUCAAGAGCUUCAUAUAUAUAUAUAUAGGCGUAGAGCAGCAUAGCUUCGAUUUAACUCAAGUAUAGUAUAAUUACAAAAUUAUUAUUUAAACUCUUUUUAUACAAGGAACUCAAAUAACUAUUGAAUGUUUAACAAAAACUUUUCUUUUUGACAGAUAAAGGGUACGGCCUGCCCAGUGAGUAUUUAACGGCUGCGGUAUACUGACCGUGCUAAGGUAGCAUAAUCAUUUGGCUCUUAAUUGGAGUCUGGAAUGAACGGCCUAACAGUUGUCUUUUGUCUGUAAUAAAUUAAAUAAUUUAGGGUUUAAGUAAAAACACUUAAAUAAAAGAGGGGGACGAUAAGACCCUAGAAGCUUUAUAAUCAUAAUAUUACUAAUUUUUUUAUAAAAUAGGGGUUUAAAAGUUAUUUAACUGGGGCGGUAGUACUAUUUACACUAGCAUUAAUUUAAACAAUGGAUUUUAAGUUCCUUUAAAUAAGGAAAAAUAGGUUAAGUUACUCUAGGGAUAACAGCGCAAUGUUUAUGGAAAGUUCCUAUUUAUAUAAACGAUUACGACCUCGAUGUUGAAUUAAGAUAUCCUUAUAGAGUAGCCCCUAUUAGCGAGAGUUUGUUCAACUUUUAAAUUUUUACAUGAUUUGAGUUCAAAUCGGUUUAAGCCAGAUUGGUUUCUAUCUCCUCAAUAAAACCUAUCAGUUUAGUACGAAAGGACCAACUGAUCUUUA